UGCCCAGCAACUCCUAUCCCGACCUCCUCGCGGUACUGGUCGUUGUCCGAGUAACCUUAGGGAAGAUCGGGUAGCCAACCCCGGUAAACACUGGUCGUAUGCUGACAGGGAUAGG
rnacentral:ribozyme from 1 species